rnacentral:tRNA from 1 species
GCCUGGCUGGCUCAGUCGGUAGAGCUUGGGACUCUUGAUCUCGGUCGGGGUUGUGAGUUUGAACCCCACACUGGGUA